UAAUACAGAGGGUGCAAGCGUUAAUCGGAAUUACUGGGCGUAAAGCGCGCGUAGGUGGUUUGAUAAGUUGGAUGUGAAAUCCCCGGGCUUAACCUGGGUCGGUCAUUCAAAACUGUCAGACUAGAGUAUGGUAGAGGGUAGUGGAAUUCCUAGUGUAGCGGUGAAAUGCGUAGAUAUUAGGAGGAACACCAGUGGCGAAGGCGACUGCCUGGACUGAUACUGACACUGAGGUGCGAAAGCGUGGGUAGCGAACAGGAUUAGAUACCCUGGUAGUCCACGCCGUAAACGAUGACAACUAGACGUUGGGUUCCUUAGAGAAUUUAGUGUCGAAGCUAACGCGUUAAGUUGUCCGCCUGGGGAGUACGGUCGCAAGAUUA
rnacentral:rRNA from 1 species